rnacentral:rRNA from 1 species
UGAACGCUGGCGGCGUGCUUAACACAUGCAAGUCGAACGAAGAUAUUUAGAAUGAGAGCUUCGGCAGGAUUUUUAUCUAUCUUAGUGGCGGACGGGUGAGUAACGUGUGGGCAACCUGCCCUGUACUGGGGAAUAAUCAUUGGAAACGAUGACUAAUACCGCAUGUGGUCCUCGGAAGGCAUCUUCUGAGGAAGAAAGGAUUUAUUCGGUACAGGAUGGGCCCGCAUCUGAUUAGCUAGUUGGUGAGAUAACAGCCCACCAAGGCGACGAUCAGUAGCCGACCUGAGAGGGUGAUCGGCCACAUUGGGACUGAGACACGGCCCAAACUCCUACGGGAGGCAGCAGUGGGGAAUAUUGCACAAUGGGCGAAAGCCUGAUGCAGCAACGCCGCGUGAAGGAUGAAGGGUUUCGGCUCGUAAACUUCUAUCAAUAGGGAAGAAACAAAUGACGGUACCUAAAUAAGAAGCCCCGGCUAACUACGUGCCAGCAGCCGCGGUAAUACGUAGGGGGCAAGCGUUAUCCGGAAUUACUGGGUGUAAAGGGAGCGUAGGCGGCAUGGUAAGCCAGAUGUGAAAGCCUUGGGCUUAACCCGAGGAUUGCAUUUGGAACUAUCAAGCUAGAGUACAGGAGAGGAAAGCGGAAUUCCUAGUGUAGCGGUGAAAUGCGUAGAUAUUAGGAAGAACACCAGUGGCGAAGGCGGCUUUCUGGACUGAAACUGACGCUGAGGCUCGAAAGCGUGGGGAGCAAACAGGAUUAGAUACCCUGGUAGUCCACGCCGUAAACGAUGAGUGCUAGGUGUCGGGGAGGAAUCCCUCGGUGCCGCAGCUAACGCAAUAAGCACUCCACCUGGGGAGUACGACCGCAAGGUUGAAACUCAAAGGAAUUGACGGGGGCCCGCACAAGCGGUGGAGCAUGUGGUUUAAUUAGAAGCAACGCGAAGAACCUUAUCAAGGCUUGACAUCCCGAUGACCGUCCUAGAGAUAGGACUUCUCUUCGGAGCAUCGGUGACAGGUGGUGCAUGGUUGUCGUCAGCUUGUGUCGUGAGAUGUUGGGUUAAGUCCCGCAACGAGCGCAACCCUUAUCUUCAGUAGCCAUCAUUCAGUUGGGCACUCUGGAGAGACUGCCGUGGAUAACACGGAGGAAGGUGGGGAUGACGUCAAAUCAUCAUGCCCCUUAUGUCUUGGGCUACACACGUGCUACAAUGGCUGGUAACAAAGUGACGCAAGACGGCGACGUUAAGCAAAUCACAAAAACCCAGUCCCAGUUCGGAUUGUAGUGUGCAACUCGACUACAUGAAGCUGGAAUCGCUAGUAAUCGCGGAUCAGCAUGUCGCGGUGAAUACGUUCCCGGGCCUUGUACACACCGCCCGUCACACCAUGGGAGUUGGAAGCACCCGAAGUCGGUGACCUAACCGUAAGGAAGGAGCCGCCGAAGGUGAAGCCAGUGACUGGGGUGA